AUAGAAAUUAAAUGUGAGAUAAAAGAAGAUAUCCAUUAAAAACAAUAAGUUCAUACAACCCCAAGAAUAAAAAAAAAUACAAAAUCCUUAUCCUUUUGCUAGGGCUGCAUCCAGCUCUGGAGAGAAGAUUAGCCUUCUAUGGAGUCGUGGGUGACAGCAGCAGCGCAGCAGCGGGCUUCCAUCUAUUCGUUCAUUCUCAUGGAGACUCCACUGAAAAUAGCUCCUUCUCAGCUCUUAUGGGAAGUCAUUCCCAAAAUCCCCCAAACUAAUCUCUCUCCUUUUAUUUCUUCCUCUUCUCGUGGGAACUUGGCCUCUGAGGAGAGAUGUGGAACCAAACCCAAGAAGUUGCCUCCCCCGUUUCAUGCCUGGGCCUUUUAUAGGCUGCCAUCUCCCCCUCUCUCCUCUAUUCCGAAUGGGAAGAUAGAGACAUGAGUGAUCCGGCUGAGAUGCGGCUGGGAGGAUAUCUUGCGGAAGAUGGAUGGAGUUCAUCCGGAAUGACGCGGGAAACAGGGGAUUCGGAAGAAAAUUGAUGCCGUGAGCAAGAUCUUGGAGAAGGUUGGGAGGAAAGCUGCAAUCGUGGGUGGAUGCGGAGUAGAUCUCGGCUGGAUGUUUAAGAGGUAAUCCAAAAGCAGAGGAGUUGAAGAUGAAUCGUGGGGUUGCUCGGAUUUUGUGGUAUGACUGGAAUGUGAACGGGAUGAAGCUAGGAGAUUCGGAGAAGAGGAUGAGGCUGAAUGGAUCCGUGGAGCUCGAGAUGAUGCUGGAUGUGAUCCGAAAUGCUGGUGAUGCGGCUUCAAUGUGGAGGAUCUUAGCUCUGUUCCGAAACAGAGCCUUGUUUGUUGGACACAGAAGGAAUGGGAUGAUGUGGAAGCCGAUCUUGGACGGGAGUAAUCCGGAAGAAGAUCUGGGAGGAGAUCAAAUAUGGAUGAUGGUUUGAUGCCACUCGGAAGAAGCUGAAACUCUUAGAUUUGUUGGGAUUCUGGCGGAAGAAGAAGAUGUCGCAUGGGAUGAGCAUGGGAUUGUUGCUGAUGCAGGGGAUUUGAGCUCAUCCGUGGAUGCUGGAAUAAGCUGGUGGUUGCUGGUUCUCAUCCAAACAGUGGAGUGAUGCUGUUGAAGCUUGGAAUGGCUUGCCAUAGGGUAAGGAUGCAUUUGUUGGCUUGACCCGUGAUGAAGGGAUGAUGGGAUGCACGCGGAGAUGGUUGAAUGCUGUUGCUGGGUUGAAUCACGGGGGGUUUGGAUUUGGCUGGGAUUUGUUCCGAAACAGGGGAGAGAUCUAAUCUUGACGUUGGGGAUUUCAUGAGAUCACGCCGUGGACGAUGAAGUUAAUCCGAAGAAGGGGUAAGGAUGGAGGCUGAGAAGAUCUCAGAUGCUGGGAUUUGAGGUUGGGAACGGAUGGAUUGGUUUUAUUCGUGGGAGAUGAAGAUGUUGAGAUUCAGCUGGGAGAAAGUCACGGUUGCUGGGAUUUUAAGAAGGGAUAAGGAUGCAAGCGGAUGGAUUGGUUCGGAAGAUGAUCCUUGAAUCGCGGACGAUGCAGAUGCAAUCUGGGAGGAGAUGACACUGGGACUUUGUUGGCUCUAUUCUUUGGGACAAAGUUGAUUACGAGGAAGGGGAGAUAAGCUGGAGGACUUGUUUGGAUGAGGGGAUUUUGGAUUUGUUCUUUGGACAUGGAAGAUUAGGUUAUCUUGUUACAAGGUGAGGACGCGGGCAUGGGAAGGCUGUAUGCUGAGAAGGUGAACGUGUGAAGAAAGAAAAAGAAUUUGAUGAAGUGCAGUGUGGGUUUAAGCAUUAUUCAAUUGGAUUAGACUUGACCUGCAUACAUAAGGCUCAAUCAAUAAAUAA
rnacentral:lncRNA from 1 species